CUACGUGCCAGCAGCCGCGGUAAUACGGAGGAUGCGAGCGUUAUCCGGAAUCAUUGGGUUUAAAGGGUCCGUAGGCGGGCUGAUAAGUCAGAGGUGAAAGCGCUUAGCUCAACUAAGCAACUGCCUUUGAAACUGUCAGUCUUGAAUGAUUGUGAAGUAGUUGGAAUGUGUAGUGUAGCGGUGAAAUGCUUAGAUAUUACACAGAACACCGAUAGCGAAGGCAUAUUACUAACAAUUUAUUGACGCUGAGAAGCGAAAGCAUGGGGAGCGAACAGGAUUAGAUACCCUGGUAGUCCAUGCCGUAAACGAUGUCGAUUUGGGGGUUGAACUUUAAGUUUGGCGCCCGUAGCUAACGUGAUAAAUCGACCGCCUGGGGAGUACGGCCGCAAGGUUAAAACUCAAAUGAAUUGACGGGGGCCCGCACAAGCGGUGGAGCAUGUGGUUUAAUUCGAAGCAACGCGAAGAACCUUACCAGGUCUUGACAUCCCUCUGACCGCUCUAGAGAUAGAGCUUUC
rnacentral:rRNA from 1 species